AUUGAACGCUGGCGGCAUGCCUUACACAUGCAAGUCGAACGGUAACGGGCCUUCGGGUGCCGACGAGUGGCGAACGGGUGAGUAAUGCAUCGGAACGUACCUUUCAGUGGGGGAUAACGUAGCGAAAGUUACGCUAAUACCGCAUAUUCUGUGAGCAGGAAAGCAGGGGAUCGCAAGACCUUGCGCUGAUUGAGCGGCCGAUGUCAGAUUAGCUAGUUGGUGAGGUAAAGGCUCACCAAGGCGACGAUCUGUAGCGGGUCUGAGAGGAUGAUCCGCCACACUGGAACUGAGACACGGUCCAGACUCCUACGGAGGCAGCAGUGGGGAAUUUUGGACAAUGGGGGCAACCCUGAUCCAGCCAUGCCGCGUGAGUGAAGAA
rnacentral:rRNA from 1 species